CAGGAACUCCAGCAGGCCAAGUAGCCCUGCUGACCCAAGCCAAUCUCUGGCUCUCAUCUACGUGCUCAGUCCAACCGACCAAGUCCGCUCAGGGAAAACUGUAUGAGGAGAGGAAGGGAAUAGGCACCAGCUCCUACACUAAGAGAAAACGAGCUUCCAAGCCGCUAAGAGAUGUUUGCCCGAGAGCGUCCCAGGAGGGGCCAAACACGGGCCCCAGAACCAGAGGAGCUGCUGGUGCCGCACUGUCCCCUUCUGUCUUCAUCGGCUAGGCUCCUCUAGAAGCCAGCUGUGACAAGAAGGCACAGCUGUCCCCGUCCACCCCAGUGAGGAACGUGCAGAGUGACCCAAAGUGUUCACGCCUCUGCUCUCGUGCACAAAUGACCUCAGAAGCCACCAGGUACUGACCUGAGAGUUACAAAUAAAUUUUCAGUAGCAAAUUCACAAACGAUAGGGAGCAACUAACUGUAAAACAAAGACAAUCUGAGUUGGGGAGACUUCAUCCUGAAGAUAAAUACAAACUCAAGACGUGCAAGAACCACCUAAGAUUUUUCACACCAAGGGGACUGCCUUGGAACUCUGAAGAACAGUAUGAGGAAAUAUAACCAGAAAUUACUGUGAAAACUUUGUAAAAUUUCUAAAAUCUGUAGUUUCCUAAUA